rnacentral:ncRNA from 47 species
GGUGAACCUGCGGAAGGAUCAUU